rnacentral:ncRNA from 1 species
AAAGCGUGCUGCUUCUUUGGAUGUCGUGGGCGCAUUCACAACGUUGUGUCGCAUUUUAAAUUUCUGGGAGGAUUGACAGAUUGAGAGCUCUUUCUUGAUUCGGUGGAUGGUGGUGCAUGUCCGUUUUUACUUGGUGGAGUGACUUGUCUGGUUAAUUCUGAUAACAAACGAGAUUCUAGCCUAUUAAAUAGGGGCGUGGUUCUCUGCAGUUUGCACCCUUCCGAGAGGGACGAGCACCUCCUAGCCGCACGAAACAGAGCAAUAACAGGUCUGUCACACUUUAGAUGUUCGGGGCCGCACGCGCGCUACACUGAAGGAAGCCGCGU